AGUUCCCCACAUUACAUGACACACAAUAAAAUGUGGAACAAGAUCAUAGCUACUCUGCAGCUGAAUAGCUUGCCAGCUUUACCUCCCAAGCUUCACCAGUCUUUGCCACAACGGAGCGUCUCCCUGUCCGUCUGCCAUGAGGCAUUUGACCUGGCUGUGACCACCCCGUGACCUCUGGUUACCUCUGAGGUCAGCGUCUGUGGGCUACUAAACGGAGAAACAUCCAACCUGGCAAGCGUCCGAUUGACUUGGAGGAUCCUCUGGAUGUGUAGAGGCUCUUGCCUCAGCCAAGUUCGGUGGGGUCGGCCCAGAAACACUGGAUGUCUUCUCACCACUGUCAGAGAACGAGAGACAAAAACACACAAAGCCUGAUCCCAAACUGACAUCCGUCUUUGGCAAAAGCAGUCAACAUAAAAGUGUUUUUAUGUUAGUUUGUCUGACAGUUCAGCAGUAGUAACAGGUAUUCAAGCUGAUGUGGAGCAGAAGUUUGACUCCUGCAUUUGAAACAUUUGAAACAGU